rnacentral:rRNA from 1 species
UAGGGAAUUUUCCACAAUGGACGCAAGUCUGAUGGAGCAACGCCGCGGUGAGUGAAGAAGGUUUUCGACCGUAAAGCUCUGUUGUUGGUGAAGAAGGAUAGAGGUAGUAACUGGCCUUUAUUUGACGGUAAUCAACCAGAAAGUCACGGCUAACUACGUGCCAGCAGCCGCGGUAAUACGUAGGUGGCAAGCGUUGUCCGGAUUUAUUGGGCGUAAAGCGAGCGCAGGCGGAAGAAUAAGUCUGAUGUGAAAGCCCUCGGCUUAACCGAGGAAUUGCAUCGGAAACUGUUUUUCUUGAGUGCAGAAGAGGAGAGUAGAACUCCAUGUGUAGCGGUGGAAUGCGUAGAUAUAUGGAAGAAUACCAGUGGCGAAGGCGGCUCUCUGGUCUGCAAACUGACGCUGAGGCUCGAAAAGCAUGGGUAGCGAACAGGAUUAGAUACCCUGGUAGUCCAUGCCGUAAAACGAUGAGUGCUAAGUGUUGGGAGGCUUCCGCCUCUCAGUGCUGCAGCUAACGCAUUAAGCACUCCGCCUGGGGGAGUACGACCGCAAGGUUGAAA